rnacentral:rRNA from 1 species
GCUCAUGGCUCAGGACGAACGCUGGCGGCGUGCCUAAUACAUGCAAGUAGAACGCUGAAGGAGAAGCUUGCUUCUCUGGAUGAGUUGCGAACGGGUGAGUAACGCGUAGGUAACCUGCCUGGUAGCGGGGGAUAACUAUUGGAAACGAUAGCUAAUACCGCAUAAUAGUAGAUGUUGCAUGACAUUUGUCUUAAAGGUUAGGCAAUUAGUCAUCACUACCACGAUGGACCGUCG